UUGCUUGUUUGUUGACAUUGUGCCAAUA
rnacentral:sRNA from 1 species